GGUGGAGUCGUAGACAAAUUAUUACCAAGGUAGCAUUAUUUAAUUCUUUUUUAUAUUUGUUAUAUAAUUUACUUUUAUCACGUUAUUUGUCAAUUAAUGCAAUGACUUUUCGUUUAUUUUUUGGUUAGUUUCAUGUAGCUUUGUUGUUAUCUCUAACUGUUGUUAGGGACAUUCGCGCGCAAGCUGUCGGGGGAGUUGUUCCAGUGAAAUGACGAAACCACCCUUGGAAUUUGGCUAUGAUAGUCGAUAGGAGGCAGGGCAGCUGAGCGGAGAGCGAAUUCCCAGCUAUUUGAUUUGCCGCAUCUACGCGAGUGUCCACCGUUUUUCUAUACAUAUUUUUUUCCUUUUUGUGGUAUUUUCUUUUCCUUGUAUAAAUGUUUUCUUGUUCAAUUAUUCAAAGAUACAUGCUUUAAAAACAAGGGCUUUUGUCAUAAAUAAUUAUGGA
rnacentral:lncRNA from 1 species